rnacentral:lncRNA from 1 species
AUGCUGAUCUGCACAGAGGAGGCGUCCCAGGAUAUCCACCUGCAAGUCAUCUCCAGGACACUCGGCAUCUGCCCUUCUGUGGGCCCUCCUCACUGUCCUCUGGAGCUGCAACUCAUUGAUUCAGUGGUGAGUGAAUUGCCUGGCCCUCGGGUCUCUCUGGCCUCCCAGCAGCUAGCAGAGGAGCCAGUCUUUGGUUUGCCUCCUCAGGCAAUCCUGCCCUCAUUUUCCCCUUCUCUGGCCGGUGAAGACCGCAGGCCAAGAAUACGCUUAGUCUUUUUUCCUAGCAUUCAGCCCCAGCUAUGCCUUCAUGCUGCGAGGAAGUCGAGAUCCAGGAAAAACUGUGGUAUGCCAUGUUCUGCACUAAGCGUGUGAAAUGUAGACAUGCACGUUCACAGGGUUUCUUUUUCUCCUUCCUUAAUGCACAAGGAGCUUGAGGUUUUUAGGAAUGCUGGAUUUAACUAAAAAUAGUCCAGGCUGUUCAGUGGGCUAUGGCAGAUUCCUCCCUCCCAAGAGAAUUGGCUUUGUUCUGAGAUGGAGCCAAGGGUCAAGGUAAAAAAACAUCUUGCGGGGGGGAAAAAAGCUUAAUUGCAGAUUAGAAAAGAUUGCUUCCAAAAAAUUGUAUCGACCUUUUGCUGCUGCAGCCUGGCUGUUUUGCUUCUCCAGGUUCAGUCAGACUUUGGUGUGUGCUGGUGGGGUAUAUGUUACCUUGAGGCUUCGCUCUGUGCUUUCACCCGUGUCUUUUUUGUGGCCUGUGUGGCCAGAGCUUACUCAUGGCAAGAAUCAGGAAGCAAACAUUUCCUUCCGCUCCUGGCUGCAUAUUGUACUUGUGGUGGAUGUUGAGCCAUGAUGCUGCCCUCCGUCUGUGGAGCAGCAUAAAGGCUGCUCUUGGGGCUUGUCUCCCUGACAGUACCAUGGACCUACAAGAGUCAUAUAUAACUUUUGCAGUCCUGCUGCAAUUACAGUAAGGAAUAAAAUUGCAAUGUAUCUUCUCUGAGAAGGCUGU